GACGAACGCUGGCGGCGUGCUUAACACAUGCAAGUCGAGCGAUGAAACACCUUCGGGUGCGGAUUAGCGGCGAACGGGCGAGGAACACGUGAGGAAUCUGCCUUGCACUUUGGGAUAACUCCGGGAAACCGGGGCUAAUACCGGAUACUUUCAAAUGGCGCCAUUGCCGGUUGAAGAAAGUUUUCCGGUGGAGGAUGACCUGGCGGCCUAUCAGCUUGUUGGUGAGGUAAAGGCUGACCAAGGCGACGGCGGGUAGCCGGCCUGAGAGGGCGACCGGCCACACUGGGACUGAGACACGGCCCAGACUCCUACGGGGGGCAGCAGUGGGGAAUAUUGGGCGAUGGAGGAAACUCUGACCCAGCGACGCCGCGUGAGGGAUGAAGGCCUUCGGGUUGUAAACCUCUUUCGGCAGGGAAUAAGCGAAAGUGAAGGUACCUGCAGAAGAAGCACCGGCUAACUAUGUGCCAGCCGCCGCGGUAA
rnacentral:rRNA from 1 species